AUUUAAAUAGUUUAAUUUUUAGAACAGUAAUUUGUGGUAUUACAGGUAUAGGUAUAUUUUAGAUC
rnacentral:tRNA from 1 species